CCUACGGGGGGCAGCAGUAGGGAAUUUUCGUCAAUGGGCGCAAGCCUGAACGAGCAAUGCCGCGUGAACGAGGAAGGUCCUCGGAUCGUAAAGUUCUGUUGACGGGGAAAAAGAGCGGAGAGAGGAAAUGGUCUCCGAUUGAUAUUACCCUUCGAGGAAGUCACGGCUAACUACGUGCCAGCAGCCGCGGUAAUACGUAGGUGGCGAGCGUUAUCCGGAAUGAUUGGGCGUAAAGGGUGCGUAGGCGGCCUGCUAAGUCUGGAGUGAAAGGCAGGGGCUUAACCCCUGAACUGCUUUGGAAACUG
rnacentral:rRNA from 1 species